UGCUUGAUUUUUGUGGGAUGUUUUGGUUU
rnacentral:piRNA from 1 species